rnacentral:rRNA from 1 species
GUGGGGAAUAUUGCACAAUGGGCGAAAGCCUGAUGCAGCAACGCCGCGUGAGCGAUGAAGGCCUUCGGGUCGUAAAGCUCUGUCCUCAAGGAAGAUAAUGACGGUACUUGAGGAGGAAGCCCCGGCUAACUACGUGCCAGCAGCCGCGGUAAUACGUAGGGGGCUAGCGUUAUCCGGAAUUACUGGGCGUAAAGGGUGCGUAGGUGGUUUUUCAAGUCAGGAGUGAAAGGCUACGGCUCAACCGUAGUAAGCUCUUGAAACUGUAAAACUUGAGUGCAGGAGAGGAGAGUGGAAUUCCUAGUGUAGCGGUGAAAUGCGUAGAUAUUAGGAGGAACACCAGUUGCGAAGGCGGCUCUCUGGACUGUAACUGACACUGAGGCACGAAAGCGUGGGGAGCAAACAGGAUUAGAAACCCUUGUAGUCC